GAGCGGAGGGGGCGGCGGCGGAGCGGCUCACUCGGUGCCGGUGCCCGGGGUUUGUAGUGACCGAGCCCCUCCCGCCGGGGCUGCCGACGGCUAAGACGUGCUAAUACCAUCAUCGCCGUCUCCUCCUCGCCCUCCUCCUCCUCCUAACAACAACUCCACCCACCGUCCAGUUUCCCUGGAAAGACUAAACCCCAAGAUGGCAGAUGAGACAAACACCAGGGAUUGCAUGUCCUUCAGUGUGCUGAACUGGGAUCAGGUCAGUCGGCUGAAUGAAGUUUUGACUGAAGUUGUACCAAUCCAUGGACGGGGCAACUUUCCUACCCUGAAGAUCACACUGAAGGAUAUUGUUCAGACUGUCCGAAACAGGCUGGAGGAGGCAGGAAUCAAGGUGCAGGAUGUUCGACUGAAUGGCUCUGCAGCCGGUCACGUCUUGGUCAAAGACAAUGGCUUGGGUUGUAAAGACCUGGACCUAAUUUUUCAUGUGGCUCUUCCAACAGAGGCAGAGUUUCAGCUUGUCCGAGAUGUUGUUCUGUGUUCUCUUCUGAACUUCUUGCCCGAGGGAGUCAACAAGCUAAAAAUCAGUCCAGUGACUCUUAAGGAGGCCUAUGUCCAGAAGCUGGUAAAGGUCUGCACAGAUACUGACCGUUGGAGUUUGAUCUCCCUCUCCAACAAGAAUGGAAGGAAUGUGGAAUUGAAGUUUGUAGAUUCCAUUCGCCGUCAGUUUGAGUUUAGCGUGGACUCCUUCCAAAUCAUUCUGGACUCUUUGCUUUUGUACUAUGACUGUUCAAGCAAUCCCAUGUCUGAACACUUCCACCCCACUGUGAUUGGGGAGAGUGUGUACGGCGACUUCGAGGCAGCCUUUGACCACCUCCAGAACAGACUGAUUGCUACCAAGAACCCAGAAGAAAUCAGGGGCGGGGGACUCCUGAAGUAUAGUAACCUUCUGGUACGGGAUUUCAGACCCACAGACCAAGAAGAAAUCAAGACCCUAGAGCGUUACAUGUGUUCCAGGUUCUUCAUCGACUUUCCAGACAUUCUGGAGCAGCAGAGAAAAUUGGAGACCUACCUCCAGAACCACUUCGCUGAAGAGGAGAGAAGCAAGUACGACUACCUCAUGAUCCUUCGUCGGGUCGUGAAUGAGAGCACUGUGUGCCUCAUGGGACAUGAACGGAGGCAGACACUCAACCUCAUCUCCCUCCUGGCCCUGCGUGUGCUGGCAGAGCAGAACAUCAUCCCGAAUGCCACCAAUGUUACAUGCUACUACCAGCCCGCUCCCUACGUCAGUGAUGGCAACUUCAACAACUACUAUGUCGCUAAUACUCCAAUGCCCUACAGCCAGCCGUAUCCCACCUGGCUGCCCUGUAAUUAACUCAUCUCUUGACUUGAGGAUUUCUGAAAGGAAACCUCAAAAGGGCAAGGACUUACAGGAGAGGCAUCUGCACCAGAUUCUCGGCCACAAGCUUUCAGAUCUCCUUUAAAUCUUACUUUGGAAAUUGUUAUCUCACAUUCAAAGUCUUUGGCAAAUACUUCAAAUUCAUUGACAAAACAUUUCACAGGAACACUCUACCCUCUCAAUCUAAUUGGGCACAAUGUGGAGAAACUGGGUAUGGUUCCCAACCUAUAAGAGAUAGACUUCCAUUUAUGGGUGUAGAAAAGAAGAGAUGUUGCUUGGAUUGUGGUACAGAAGCAAUUGGGCAGCUUGCUGUUGGAGCAUUAAAUUUUGAACUUGACUUUCUUCUGAAUCUUUGCUUUUCAUGGUUAUCUAUAAGUCCAGUGGCCAAAGGCCUGAAUUGAAUUCAUUCUCCUCCACUGUGGUAGCCUCCUUACACCUACAUCUGGUAUUUACUUUUGUAGUAGUAGUAGUAGUAGCAACAGCAGUUAGUAGUAGUAGUAGUAGCAGUAGUAAUAGUAAUAGUUGGAUAGGAGUUUUGCUAGUAUCACUUUGUUUUUAGCUAGAGGAGUGCCACUCAAGGUAUCAGAUAUUCCCUUCCUUUUAGGAACAAUAAUUCCCUUUUGACUAGUGCUUCCCUCCCCCCCCCCCCCCCCAUGGACUAUAUAAUGUCUUUGUUUGGGGCCCAAGUUUAGAUUCUUCUAACCCUUUCUUCCAUUGGGUGAUGUUAAGACAUAAUUAAAAUGUUACCACAGAGUGGAAGAAAGUAUAUAUUAUGAGCCAUUACCACUUGCAGUUGAUUUUUGACUCUGAACCUGAAAGAAUCUACUGGUGUGUGUAUAAACCUAUUUUAGGUAUAAACAUCCUUUCUUAGAAGUUGAGAAAAGAAACACUCAGAUUUCCAAGCUUAAAGCCAGAUAUCCUUAAGCUGGCAAAGGCCAGAAUAUAGUAUCUACUCUGGUCAUGGCUGGCUUUGGAACAAAUUCAGUUCACCUAAUUAACAUUUAGAGGACCAAGGGGAAACCGGGCCAAGAUACUAGAAAAUGUUUCCAGAGGGGUAAUAGAGCAAAUUAGCAAGAAGAAAGGCUACUAUUGCUAAAACCAAAUAUUUCAAGUGCCUAAAUCCUGUUUCUCUUAUUUUUCUAAUUAAAAAAAAAAAAGCCAAAUGUGAUAGUUGGAACAAACCAAGGUUCAGAGCACUCAUCUACACCUGUGUAUGAAUGGGAAGGUUAAAAGACCAUUCACUAAUGAAGUAGAUAAAUUAAAUGAUGUGGGUUUGUGUGGGUUUUCUUUUUGUCUAAAACUUAUCUUAUUUAAGGAUGAAGAAACUCCUAACUUUUUAAAAGUAGUUUUUUUAAACUUUUCUUUCCAAAUUAAUAUAUAUACAGAAAAAACCCACCUUUAGUCUAUUAGACAAAACAGGAAAUUCUUUUCAGUUUUCUAAAUUUGCGUAGCAUUUAGCCAUUGGAAUUUUUGAUUUUUUGGCAAUUCAAGAUGUGUAGGAUUACUUCUUUAUUAAUGGUCACUAGCCUUCUCAGUCAAUGUGGAUGAAAUCACUUUCUUUUGUCAAUGCAAAAUGUGUUAAAACUUUAUAAAAAAAAAAGCUUUGAGUUUAUUGAGAAAUAAAGAUAUAUUUUAAA